rnacentral:rRNA from 1 species
UACGGAGGGUGCGAGCGUUGUUCGGAAUCACUGGGCGUAAAGCGCGUGUAGGCGGUCCGUUAUGUCUGGUGUGAAAGCCCGGGGCUCACCCCCGGAAGGGCACUGGAAACUGACGGACUGGAGUCCCGGAGAGGAGGGUGGAAUUCCUGGUGUAGCGGUGAAAUGCGUAGAUAGCAGAAGGAACAUCAGUGGCGAAAGCGGCUUCCUGGUCCAGUACCGACGUUCAGGCACGAAAGCGUGGGGAGCAAACAGG